CGCAUCGCCGCGGGCGGGUCGCCGUCGAUGCUGCCGAAAUUGCCCUGCCCGUCGAUGAGCGGGACCCGCAGGUUCCAGUCCUGCGCCAUGCGG
rnacentral:tRNA from 1 species